ensembl:lncRNA
GGGUGUAAGAAGUACUACAGUGCAUGAAAAACCUGAUCUGUUUGUGGAUAGGCAAGGAAAAUAUUAAUAUUUAACCUUUAAAAUGAUUAUUAAGUAAUUAAUACUUUUUAAAUAGUAGCAUUAGGAAAAUAUAUGAAUUAAGAAAGAAAAUCUGACUGGUUUACCCAGUCAAUCCAUAAAGAACUCCAUGCUUCAAAAUUAUUGGAUGGGAAUCCUACAUAAGGGAGGUUUGAUAAAGUAGGAUCUGACAGAUCACACAAAAGUAAAUUCUUCCCACAACAGAUGGAAAAACUGAAGGCCUCCCCUGGCAGAAGCUACCUUUUCUUUGUAAUAUGGACAAAAGUCAAAUAUAUUCUGGAUAUGAAAUCUGCUAUGGAAUCUUCUAAGGGUUCCAGUGGGACAACUUUUGUGACUGAGCAAAGAGAGGCAUCAUACUGCCAACAUACUGCUGGCAGAUGGCAGCUGCAUUUAACUGAUGACAAGAUUAAGGUAGGAACUGAGCUCAAGUGGGUCAAGGAUAGAAGCUUAUAAAGGUCGCAUAGAAACAUAGGAUGUUGAAAAAAAUUUGGAAGGUAAACCUUGAAGUGGACAGUUUCAAAGGCAAGAAACAAUCUUUGAUCUUCAAAAUUUUAUAAAUGAGAGAAUACUGUCUGUUGGACUCAUCACGUGUCCAAACAUACAGGAUUUUGAAGUAUCAAAACCCUGAAGAAGGGAAACAAAAAGGGACAUUAUUCAGAUGGUAAGCCCAAAUGACAGCGUGGAUGUCUCUGAUGGUUUUAGUGGGCUUUAUACUACAACUUACUGAUGUAAAAAUAAACUUUUUGAAUUUCUAGCUGAAUUUCUGGAAAUGAGGGACGUGAUGUUCAGAAAAAAAAACAACAAAUAAAAAGUGUGAACCUGCAGUAAGAAAUGCUUCAGAUUGUGCAAGUUUCUGAAAGCAUCGCAGCCUCAAAAACAGAGGAAUGUUUUUAGGUAGGAGGAAGUAAUGAAAAACAUCUAAAAUGCUUUUGUUGUGUUUUGUUGGUUUUUUUUUUUUUUUUUGACCUUUUACCAAGUGCUCCAGGCCUGCAUUAAAUGUUUGAUAAACCAAGCUGAUGAGUCCUUGUGAUGGCGACUGUGGGCAAACAAAACUUGGAGUCCUUAGCUGGGCCCUGCCAUGGCCAGCCAAGCCUGGGGAAGAUCUUCAGGCAAGCACUUGAUAUAGAUUCCAUGUGUGCUCUCAAAGCUAUUGGAGCCAAUGUGUGACAGCCAGAGGAAAAAGAGGAGUGGACGCUGGACUUGGAGAUGUCAAGGCAGCCAUGUACAGCGAGGAGUUUCCUUUACAGUAGGAUUUGGGUGCACCAGGAUGACCCCAGCAAAAGCUGACAAGUUAAGCUGAGAGCUCCAAACAAACACCGAGAGAAAGGUCACGUCUUGAGUCUUGCCUCUCCAGAUGCCUUGCUUAGGGCUGCAGUGAUGUCACCUUCAUCCACUCUCCAGGACCUGGUGAUAGACAAGCUGUCUGACGUUUUUGGAUAUUUCAGUCUUUUCAUGGUUUAUACCUGCCCUGUGUAUAGAUGCCCGUCUCAUGAACAGUCUUGGUUCUUCAGAAGUUAAACUGGCAUUCAAAGUCAUGCAGCCAAACAGAUCUUUGCUGGCAUAUUGAAGACUCACGGAGAGAAGCGAGGAGCAGGAAGGAUAAGAUGGGAAAAAUUAUGAGAUGAGGAACUGCAGACUGAUGGAAGAGCUGACCUGCUUUUGGGUUGGAUAUUAGGAAAAACUUAUUAUCCAAAAGAGUGGUGAUGCAUUGGCACAGGCUGCCCAGGGAGGUGGUAGAGUCACCGUCCCUGGAGGUGUUGAAGAACUGUGGAGAUGUGGCAAGGAAUGAGGAGUGCCUGGCUACUUUUCCAGUCAAUAUCUACUGCUCUACACAGCAUCCAGGAGAAUUUGCAGGUGAGAAUCCACGUAUCCUGAAAUAAAGCAGGUACAUUUUUUUUCCCACCAUAUUAACUUUAUUCCCACUGUACAAAAAAAAUGAUCUUGCUCUUACUCAGUAUAGAUUGGCCUUACAGAAGCAACAUAGCCAUCAUUAUGUGUGUGCGUACAUCCCUGAAGGAUUCAUAAUCAUUUCCAUUUGUUGAUUGGAUGGCAUCCAUUUGGUUAAUCAUCAUUCAAGUGCAGGGAGACCAUGUAGCAUGUGAAAGCUGUAUUUGAGACAGCAAAACUGCCAGAAACAUCCAAGUAUGUAACCUGACUAUCCACUUAUAUUAACAAAUGGUGAUGGUUAGAGUUUGAGAUGGUGGAAAAAUGAAAUGUAGUCCCAAUAUUUAACCAGUAACACCUUCUAAAAUGAACUACACUCCCAUAUUUCAUGUUAAUUUGUGUCCCAGUUCUUUCUUUUGCUCUCAGCUUUUGUGCUAUGGAAUGACUGUGCUGUUGUGCCACACCUGCAUAGAUAAAAACUGGUACCACCAUCAAGUGUACUUCAUUUCUCCUCUGUCUGAAGGAAAUCCUAUCUGUGGGUUUAUUUCACC